UUCUUGAAAAUUAAAAAAGUUGGCGGUAUUUUAGUCUAUUAAGCGGAACCUGUUCUGUAAUUGAUAAUCCACGAGUUUAAUAACUUAUAUUUUAAAUUUAUAUAUCGCCGUAGUUUGAAUAUUUUAAAAGGAGAUUAAUGUUCAAUAAUUUGAGAGAAAAGAAUUCAGGUCAAGAUGUAGUUUAUAUAUAAGAAGAAAUGGGUUACAAUAAAUUUAUUUAAAACGAAAAAUUUUUUGUAAUAAAAAUUUGAAGGAGGAUUUGAAAGUAAUUUGUAUAAAAAUUUAUAAGAUGAUUUUAGCUCUAAAAUAUGUACAUAUCGCCCGUCACUUUCACUCUAAAGUGGAAUAAGUCGUAACAAAAUAGGGGUACUGGAAAGUGUCCCUAGAAAGAUCAAAUUAAAGCUUUGAAAGCAUUUUAGUUACAUUAAAAAGAAUAUUGUAAAUUCAAUAUAGUUUGAAGUUAAAAAUUUAUUUGUUAAAAUAAUUUAAUUUAUUAGUUAAAAAAAAUAAUUUUAAUUUGUAUUAUUUGUAUAAGAAAUAAUAAAAUUUAUUAUAGAAUAUUAGUAUUGAGAGAGAAUUUUUGUAAUUUUAUAAAAGAAAAAUUUNNNNNNNNNNNNNNNNNNNNNNNNNNNNNNNNNNNNNNNNNNNNNNNNGGGCUAUAUAGAUAUAAUUUUUAUUGUUGAAAAAAUAUUAUUAAUAUUUAUAUAGAAAUGAAACGUUAUUCGAUUCUAAAUAUAUCUAGUUUUUUAAGAAAGAAAUUUAAUUUUAUUUUUGUAUUAUAAAAAAUUUUAGUAUUUAAUUUUUUUAUAACAAAAUUUUAUAUUUUAAGGGUUGAGCUUUAAAAUAAAUAAAUAUAAUUUAUAAAAAUUAUUAAUUAAGUGGAAUUAUAAGUUUUUAUCCUUAAUAGUGUUUUAUAACUAUUUUAAGAAUAGAUAAAAUUUUUAUAUAAUUUAUUUAUUUUAUUAAAAUAUAUAUUUAAAUUUAAAAAAUAUAGAAAUAAUGAUAAAAUUAGUAUAAUUGAUUGUAAAAUAUUUAUUAAAAAGAAAAGGUUAAAUAAAGGAACUCGGCAAAUUAUUUUUCACCUGUUUAAUAAAAACCUGGCUUUUUGAAUAUAAUUUAAGGUCUAGCCUGCCCAAUGAUUAAAUAAUUAAAUGGCCGCGGUAUUUUGACCGUGCAAAGGUAGCAUAAUCCUUAGUUUUUUAAUUGAAAGCUUGUAUGAAAGGUUGGAUGAGAAAAUAACUGUCUCUAUUUAAAUUUAUUAGAAUUUUAUAUUUAAGUAAAAAAGCUUAAAUGUUUAUAGAAGACGAGAAGACCCUAUAGAGUUUUAUAAAUAAUUUAGAUUAAAAUUUUUGGUAUUAU
rnacentral:rRNA from 1 species